rnacentral:rRNA from 1 species
CAGUCGCCGCGGGAAUACGUAGGUGGCAAGCGUUGUCCGGAAUUAUUGGGCGUAAAGGGCUCGCAGGCGGUUUCUUAAGUCUGAUGUGAAAGCCCCCGGCUCAACCGGGGAGGGUCAUUGGAAACUGGGAAACUUGAGUGCAGAAGAGGAGAGUGGAAUUCCACGUGUAGCGGUGAAAUGCGUAGAGAUGUGGAGGAACACCAGUGGCGAAGGCGACUCUCUAGUCUGUAACUGACGCUGAGGAGCGAAAGCGUGGGGAGCGAACAGGAUUAGAGACCCCUGUAGUCCCUGUCUCUUAUAC